GUGGGUCAACCGCAUUUUCCUCCUGUGUGCAGCACAAAAUUUUGAAAAACACGAGAUUAGAGGAUACACCACAAAGAAAAAGAAAAACUAUGAAAUUACAGUAAAAUCACUUAGAUACCAAUGGGAGGCAGGCACAAAUCCCACUAAAGAUCUUUUGGGCAACCAUUUUUUUAACAUCGGCAUUAUAUUUUAAUUAUUUUU
rnacentral:misc_RNA from 1 species